UAUAUAGUCCGAAGUCCGGACAGAGAGCUUUAUUGGACAAUUAGGCCCUACGGAAAAGUUGAGCUGGUGUGCUAGGCUAAAAUUCAGGAGACCUGCGAAUUGGUUCUACUGUCUAGGUCAAAAGAAAAAAUAAAAUAAAAGGAAAAUAAGAGCAUCUCCAAUUGGUUCGCCGUUGUCCCCCCGAGCUUCCGCCGUCAGCGACUCGCCGUCGAGCCACUCCUAUUGGCGAUUAUUGCUUCCUCCGCUCCCAGCUCCUCUUCCGUCACACCGCGAUGUGGCUCCAACCUGCUCGGCGUCGCGUGGCGAUCGGGCAGGUGCAGCUGCUCGUCGCGCCUUCUGUUCCGGACCGUUCUAUUGCCGAAGCUAAGUCCCUUCUAGCCUAUCCUAAUCUCCCUUGUUAUUUGCAAGUUUAGAGUUGCAUUGAGAUGUUUAGUUAAUGGCAGCAUCGAAUAAAUUUUUGAUUCUAGGCUUAGGGGGCAAAAUUCCAAGAAAGGACGCCAUGCAAAAAUGUAUCCGCCAUUUGGACCACAUGGUAUAGACGCGAUCUCGCGUGUUUAACUAAACUCGCUUGAAGCUCUUGCGUGUUUUAACUAAACACGCAUCAGGCUAUCGCGUGUUUAACUAAACACGCGACACGCUCUCGCGUGUUUCGGGUAGACACAAAUUCCAGCCCAAACGGCAGAGACCUCACUUUCCACUCGCGAAUUCACUUCCAGCUCGCUCAAUCUCUCACUCUCAGCGACGGCCAACGUUUCUAGCCGGCGAAAAUCGAAGUGAAUCCGUGAUGGCAAAAUGUAUCCGCCAUUUGGACCCUGAAAAAGGGCAGCCAUGUUUCGGUUCCUUUGUUUACACUAUGGAGGAUGGUUCCUAAUUCUCCUUAUACUUGUUUCUUUCCGUUGGUUCAUUUGGAGAUUAGCAUGCUAAAUGAGGUCUCUAUGUGAUGUUGUGGUUCAUGCUUGAGUUUGAGGAAAAGAAAGGGAUAUGGAGGUUACCUUCUUUUUCACCACUCUAAAUCUUGCUCCUAGACUUGUCUCUCUCUCACUCUCUACUCACUAUCUUGCUAUGUGGUGGUGAGAGAGGGUGAGACCGAGUGGAUUAUGCUAUAUAUAAGGGUAUAACCGAAAGCCUGCAAAGGCUGAUUAUGUGUUGGCUGUUUAUGUGUCCUUGGUUGAUUAUGUGUUGGCUGUUUUCUCUGCACCAACGCAGGGGUUUACUCGUGUAUUAAAUGCAUUUGUACCUCCUCAUUUAUUGCCUUAUUGCAGCCUCUGUCUCUCGCUGCUCAUCUCUGUUGUUGUAUGGUGUACGAUGGGGCAGAGGCCGUUGAGCUGGAGUGCAGGCUUCUGCGGCUGUCUCCCUUUAUUCUUUAGCUUCUUGUGGCUGUGAUUAUGGUUUGAGGUGCUUGUUGCUAUUGGCUGUACCCUAGUCACUGCCGGUUUUGGGUGGUACUUCGGCCCUUACAAAAAAAAAUAGGGCUACACUUCCUGGCUGCCGAGUUGAUACAGCCUUAAGGCUGGCUCGCUGCCUUGGGUCGAAGGGCGUCGGUCCAAUAUUUAACAUUCCUAACUUGUAAUAGAAUAGUGUUUUCUUUCCAAUUUCCCUUUUCUUUCCAUUCUCAAUAAAGUGUAAAACAUUUAUAAGGGUUGAAAAUACAUUGUUCUCGAGCACCUUUAGUUUGGAAAA